GUGGCUGUGGCUCAGCGGGAGAGUGCUCGCCUCACACUUGUGAGACCCUGGUGUUCAAGCCUCAGCACCACA
rnacentral:tRNA from 1 species